GAUGAACGCUAGCGGGAGGCCUAACACAUGCAAGCCGAGCGGUAGAGUCUCUUCGGAGACUUGAGAGCGGCGCACGGGUGCGGAACACGUGUGCAACCUGCCUUUAUCUGGGGGAUAGCCUUUCGAAAGGAAGAUUAAUACCCCAUAAUAUACUGGAUGGCAUCAUCUGGUAUUGAAAACUCCGGUGGAUAGAGAUGGGCACGCGCAAGAUUAGAUAGUUGGUGAGGUAACGGCUCACCAAGUCAGCGAUCUUUAGGGGGCCUGAGAGGGUGAUCCCCCACACUGGUACUGAGACACGGACCAGACUCCUACGGGAGGCAGCAGUGAGGAAUAUUGGACAAGGGGUGAGAGCCUGAUCCAGCCAUCCCGCGUGAAGGACGACGGCCCUAUGGGUUGUAAACUUCUUUUGUAUAGGGAUAAACCUAGAUACGUGUAUCUAGCUGAAGGUACUAUACGAAUAAGCACCGGCUAACUCCGUG
rnacentral:rRNA from 1 species